UACAGAGGUCUCAAGCGUUGUUCGGAUUCAUUGGGCGUAAAGGGUGCGUAGGUGGCAGGGUAAGUCGGGUGUGAAAUCUCGGAGCUUAACUCCGAAACUGCAUUCGAUACUGCCGUGCUUGAGGACUGGAGAGGAGACUGGAAUUUACGGUGUAGCGGUGAAAUGCGUAGAUAUCGUAAGGAAGACCAGUGGCGAAGGCGGUUCUCUGGGCCUUACCUGACACUGAGGAGCGAAAGCGUGGGGAGCGAACAGG
rnacentral:rRNA from 1 species